rnacentral:rRNA from 1 species
AUGUCUUCCUCAAGCUCCCGCGCCACCUCGCGGAUGCAGAGCCGGGCGCGUGUGGACAUGCCUGUCUUCGUCUGUCCAUGGUGCCGUGCGAGCGUUGAUCGGAGGGUUUCGCACACACCGAGGAACCAGAAUCGUCCGUUAUACGUGUGCAGUGAGAAUGGGGCGAUAUGCUUCCUUCUUUGGGUCGAUGCUCUGGCCAAGACUCUGAUGAACAAACUGCAAGAAGAGCAUGAAGAAUGGUUGCGCAUGCUGCCACAAACGGCAGUGGCCAUGGCAUGAGCUCCAGAAGAAGAGAUGGAGGCGGCACGCACUAACAGGGAGCUAGCUGUUGAGCUUAGGAUGUUGAAGAAGAAGGUUAGGAAGCUUGAAGAUCAAGCACAAAUACCAAUACCCAUUUCCAAUUACUGUUGGGCAUUUGUAGGUAUGGUAAUCGCACUGGAUGUAAUGUUGAAAUUGUAUGGAAAGGCAUGA